rnacentral:lncRNA from 1 species
CAGUUAAUUAUUUAGGGGCUGCAACCUUGUUUGUUUACUCGUAUUCAGUACUAUAAGUACACCCAACUCUCUUUUCAAGACACGAACACAUUGCAUAUCGCAAACACACACACAUACAUGGUAAUCACAUUGCUCUCUCUUAUGCUAUUUCUCUCGUUUUCUCUCCUGUGCUGUUGCUGCUCCCUACUCCUGACUGUCAUUUGCCAGUUGAAAGGCUAAGGCUAAUAUCGUGCUUGUAUUUGGCUCUUGCAUUCUUCUGUGUUCUCUUUGUUGCUGGUAUGUGCUGAUUGAAUUCCAUGCUCCAAACCAAUAUGUUUAUUACUACAUGCUCAUGAUUACUGUUCAACUGUCAUAAUUGAAUUCUAUUGCUACUUACUUUGUAGCUAAAUCCGACUACGUCGAGGUCACUUAAAGCUUUUGGUUUUGUGAGUUUGCAUGUGAUAUAUUUUUCCCCUUUACCCAUUACCCUUGUGUGCAACCCUCCAACUUAUUCUUUUGUAAGCUCUUUGAACUACCAACUUUCUUCAUCUUCUUG